GCAAGUCGAACGCAGUAGCAAUACUGAGUGGCAAACGGGUGAGUAUAAUGUGGGAAUCUGCCUUUUGGUUUGGAAUAACACGGGGAAACUUGUGCUAAUACCGAAUAAGCCCUUACGGGGAAAGUUUUAACGCCGAAAGAUGAGCCCGCACUUGAUUAGCUAGUUGGUAAGGUAAAAGCUUACCAAGGCAACGAUCAAUAGCUGUUCUUAGAGGAAGACCAGCCACAUUGGGACUGAGACACGGCCCAGACUCCUACGGGAGGCAGCAGUGGGGAAUCUUGCACAAUGGGGGAAACCCUGAUGCAGCGAUGCCGCGUGAGUGAAGAAGGCCCUUGGGUUGUAAAACUCUUUCGUCGGGGAAGAAAAUGACUGUACCCGGAUAAGAAGGUCCGGCUAACUUCGUGCCAGCAGCCGCGGUAAUACGAAGGGACCUAGCGUAGUUCGGAAUUACUGGGCUUAAAGAGCUCGUAGGUGGUUAAAAAAGUUGAUGGUGAAAUCCCAAGACUCAACCUUGGAACUGCCAUCAAAACUUUUUAGCUAGAGUGUGAUAGAGGUAAGUGGAAUUUCUAGUGUAGAGGUGAAAUUCGUAGAUAUUAGAAAGAACACCAAAUGCGAAGGCAACUUACUGGGUCACUACUGACACUGAGGAGCGAAAGCAUGGGUAGCGAAGAGGAUUAGAUACCCUCGUAGUCCAUGCCGUAAACGAUGUGUGCUAGACGUUGGAAAUAUAUUUUUCAGUGUCGCAGCGAAAGCAUUAAGCACACCGCCUGGGGAGUACGACCGCAAGGUUAAAACUCAUAUGAAUUGACGGGGACCCGCACAAGCAGUGGAGCAUGUGGUUUAAUUCGAAGAUACGCGCAGAACCUUACCAACGCUUGACAUGUUCGUCGCGAGACUAAGAGAUUAGUUUCUUCAGUUCGGCUGGACGAA
rnacentral:rRNA from 1 species